rnacentral:rRNA from 1 species
CGUAGGGCGCGAGCGUGUCCGGAUUAUUGGGCGUAAAGAGCUCGUAGGCGGCUUGUCGCGUCGACUGUGAAACCCGCGGCUCAACCGCGGGCUUGCAGCCGAUACGGGCAGGCUAGAGUUCGGUAGGGGAGACUGGAAUUCCUGGUGUAGCGGUGAAAUGCGCAGAUAUCAGGAGGAACACCGGUGGCGAAGGCGGGUCUCUGGGCCGAUACUGACGCUGAGGAGCGAAAGCGUGGGGAGCGAACAGGAUUAGAUACCCUGGUAGUCCACGCUGUAAACGUUGGGCGCUAGGUGUGGGGGGGCCUCUCCGGUUCUCUGUGCCGCAGCUAACGCAUUAAGCGCCCCGCCUGGGGAGUACGGCCGCAAGGCUA